GAAUUUUCCGCAAUGGGCGAAAGCCUGACGGAGCAACGCCGCGUGAGGGAUGAAGGCCUCUGGGCUGUAAACCUCUUUUAUCAAGGAAGAAGAUCUGACGGUACUUGAAGAAUAAGCCACGGCUAAUUCCGUGCCAGCAGCCGCGGUAAUACGGGAGUGGCAAGCGUUAUCCGGAAUUAUUGGGCGUAAAGCGUCUGCAGGCGGUCUUGUAAGUCUGUCGUUAAAGCGUGGAGCUUAACUCCAUUUCAGCGAUGGAAACUGCAAGACUAGAGUGUGGUAGGGGCAGAGGGAAUUCCCGGUGUAGCGGUGAAAUGCGUAGAUAUCGGGAAGAACACCAGUGGCGAAGGCGCUCUGCUGGGCCAUAACUGACGCUCAUGGACGAAAGCCAGGGGAGCGAAAGGGAUUAGAUACCCCAGUAGUC
rnacentral:rRNA from 1 species